rnacentral:lncRNA from 1 species
GUUGCCAAGAUACAUUAGUCAGGGGCUUUAAAAGCCAAAACUCACAAGGCUACAUUCUUUCUGCCUUCAUGCCAUCAGAGGCAAGCACACAUCCUGAUAUAUGUCAUGCCUAAGAGUGAUCCAGGAAGAUGGGAACAACCAAACUUGAUUACAGCAGUGAAAAUAGGGAACAACCAAACAAGUGGAGCUUAUAGAAUGGCAUUUCUGUUUUAUACAUAUCUUAAGCACAGUAAUUUAAACUUAAAACAUGUUAGCCAUCACAAGAUAUGUCUACCAUGCAUGUAGACAAGGAUCUCAUCUGAGCAGUACCAAACACAGCACAACAGGAAAAAGCAAAAAAACAAAAAACAAAACAAAACAAAAACAAAUCUCAGGAAUUCAUUUUGAUUUCUAAGCUCUGUUAAUAACUCAACAUUUAAUAAAAUGUCCCAGCCUGUCCCUUCAAUCUGCCAUGGUGUAAGGCCAGCCUGUGCUAAGUGAGAUACUAAAUAAAUAACCAAAUAGACAAACAAACAUCCUCACAUAGAAACAUUGAAGUCCACAUCCUAAAACAGUCUUGAUACUUACAUUUGAUAACUUAUGCAUCACUUGAUACAUGUACAUUUGGCUUACGCAAAAAUUACCUUUGCAGAAAACUGUACAGUGUAAAAUUCUGAAUUAUCUUUCCUAGCUUUGAGCAAUUUUCCAAUUUUACUUCUUAAGCCAUUGCUUCCACAUAUCCUUGCUUUACUCCGUCUCUUCUUAAGGAAAUGUCUUUCUAACAAAAGUCAGUGCAUGCAUAAGUAAAUGCAAGAAGAAAUGAGUGAGUUCCUCAUGAAUGAAUGAAUGAAUGAAUGAAUGAAAGGAAAACGCUGACUUUAUGUAACAAUGUUGACAGGCAUGUGUGCAGGGACGUGAGGUGCACACUGUACACAUUCCCAUGUUCCCACUGAGCAGCAUCUUAGAAACCUAGAUCCAGGCCACAGAUGACGGCUAAAUCUGUUAGAAAAUCAUUGUAUAGCUUAUCUGGGAAUGGCUGCACACAUAUAGAGUCCUUAGGAGGUAGAGACAGAAAGAUCAGGAGUUGAGGAUACCAUCAAUUAUAUAAAACCUUUGAGGCUAGCCUGCGUUUCGUGAUACUGCGUGUCUCAAAAUUACCCAAAGUGUGGCGCACGCCUUUAAUCCCAGCACUUGGGAGGCAGAGGCAGGUGGAUUUCUGAGUUUGAGGCCAGCCUGGUCUACAAAGUGAGUUCCAGGACAGCCAAGGCUACAGAGAAACCCUGUCUCCAAAAACAAAAUCAAAAACAAAAACAAACCAGAAAAAAACAAAAAAAUACCCAAAGCAAACAAAUAAAUAAAGAUACCGAUACACCUAUGUUUUUAUUUACAUAUGUGUAUAUGAAUACACCCAAGCACACCAGGAAAAAAUUGAGUAACAUUAAAAUGCAAAGCUUUGAAUUUCUAACACAGGUUACUUACAUAGUAGUAGAGACUUAUUUAUAGCCAACGCACAUAUUUCUGUGAUUGUAUUGUUUGUGUAUAUAAGCAUUUAAAAAAUACCAAACUUGCCUCAAAGUACAGCCUGGCUUAUUUGCUCUGUGCCCCUGCUCUAAAGACAAGUUGACUGAAUUCACCAGCACUGAAGGAGACUGCGGGUGAUGCUGCGACCAAGGGGUAUUUUAUGGCUCUUUUGAUUUUGAACAGGCAGCUGCAGCUGAAGGGGCAGAAUCAAUCUGGGAAGCUGCACAGCUUUAGGAGGGAGGGCAGUGAUUUCAGUACUUACUUUGUCAGAGAAUUCUGCCCUUUGUUCACAGGAAGGGAUAUCUCUCUUGGAAACUCACUUUGCAUUUAAAUGAGGGUAUAAAACAAUUAAGCUCCAGGCACCAUCCUCCUGCCAUCCUCCUCUCCUGCAUGGCUGGAAGACUGCACAUCUUGAACAACAUGGUGCUUGGAACCCUGCCAUGAGGCUUGGAUACCCUCAUCAUUGAUGGGAAUGGACAGAUUUUGCCUAGAGAAGACCUCUCACUUAGAACACCAGGAUACAUAAACUCUACCUUUAGCUGUUAAAAUGACUUGUUUAACCACAAAAGGAUCCACACAUUCUUUUAAGUGACAUAUCAUUCUUGCUAUCAAAUAGCAGAGCACACAAAUGGGGAACAGAUGUGUAAAACAAGAAUAUACUGGUCAUGAUAUUGUAUACUAACUAUAACUGGCUGGGGGUGACCCUAGCAGCAGGCCUAGGGUGAGAUCUUCACAGUCCAUUACUUUCAAAAUAUCACCACAGCCACUUGUAAGACAGCGGCUGUCAUCACCCCUCCUCUCUGCUCUCUCAUCUUCACUGUAGCUCUAUGCACAAUAGCAAAGCUACCUAAGCGCUCAUCAGUUGAUGAGUGGGUAACACAUGGUACAUUUACACAACCUGAUAAAAUUUCCCCAUAAAAAGAAAGAAACUCAGCCAUUUGCACCAACUGAAUCUGGAAAUCAUCAACAUAACAGAAAUUAGCCAUAAACAGAAGGAAAAUAUAUGUUGUCUCUUAUAAGUGGAAUCUAUUUUUAAUAUUAAACUGAAAAAUAUAUAAUAUUUAAUAUAUAGAGAUGUUUUUCUUCAUAUAUGACAGUGUACUACAUGCAUACCUGGUGCCCAUAGAAACCAGAAUGUAUCUGACUCCCUGGACUUGGAGUUGUGAGCUGCUUGUGGUACAAAGAAUCCAACCCGGGUUCUCAGGAAGAGAAGUUAGUGCUCUU